rnacentral:lncRNA from 1 species
UAGGGAUCCAGCGUUGCUGUGAGGUGUAGGUCGCAGAUGCAGCUCGGGUCUCAUGUUGCUAUGGCUGUGGCUGGCAGCUGUAGCUCUGAUUUCCCCUAGCCUGGGAACCUCCACAUGCUGCAGGUGCAGCCCUAAAAAGCAACAACAAUGACAAAAAAAAAAAAAAUUAAUGAAAUCUAUUGACAUCUAUCAGUAUGGACAAAUCUGAAAUAAAAGGAUACAUAACAAUUUCAGGAUAGUGGCUACUUUGGAGAAGGACUGUGGGACUGUGGGAAAUGGGAUGAAAUUGGGGCUUCAGUUGUGGCACUCAUUUAAUUUUUUUUUUUAGGUCUUUUUGCCAUUUCUAGGGCCACUCUCAUGGCAUAUGGAGCUUCUCAGGCUAGGGGUCUAAUCAGAGCUGUAGCCGCCGGCCUAUGCCAGAGCCACAGCAAUGCGAGAUCUGAGCCAUGUCUUCAACCUACACCACAGCUCAUGGCAACACCAGAUCCUUAACCCCCUGAGUAAGGCCAGGGAUCGAACCUACAACCUCAUGGUUCCUAGUCGGAUUCGUUAACCACUGAGCCACAAUGGGAACUCCACGAUAGCAUUUAAUUUUUAGAAUACAUUUUUUUUUCACUUUUCAGUGUUUAAAAUAUUUUUAAAUUGAAUUUUGUUCAGUGAAUUAUUAUUGCAGAAAAUCUACAUUUAAAAGGUCAUUUUAGGAGUUCCCAUUGUGGCUCAGUGGUUAACGAACCUGACUAGUAUCCAUGAGGACAUAGGUUUGAUUCCUGGCCUCGCUCAGGGGGUUAAGGAUCCGGUUUUGACGUGAGCUACAGUGUAGAUUUCAGAUGAGGCUCAGAUCCUGUGUCGCUGUGGCUGUGGUGUAGACCGGCAGCUACAGCUCCGAAGUUCCUAACUUGAGAACCUCCAUAUGCCGUGGGUGCUGCCCUAAAAAGAUAAAAAGACUAAAAAAAAAGUCAUUUUAACUUUAUGUUAUUAUCGGGAAGUAGCAAAAGGACAGCUAACAAGGUCACUUCCUCUCACACAAGAAAUUUGGUCAAAAUUAAUGGCUCAUGGAGUCCAGAUAUUCCAGUUAUUACUGUUCAGCUGGUUUACUAUACAUUUUUUAACACUAUUUUCAUUCUACUAAGUUGCAUGUAAUAAGUAUGGUACUGGUAUCUCUUAGGAGUUCAUCAAUAUGUCUGUUGCUCUGUGAAGCCAAAAAAGGGUAUUUAAAAAAAACAAAACAAUAGUUUCUGUUGUGGCUCAACAGGUUAAGAAUCUGACUAGUAUCCAUGAGGAUGCAGGUUUGAUCCCUGGCCUCACUCAGUGGGUUAAAGGGUCUGACGUUGUGGUGACUGUGGUGUAGGCCAGCUGCUACAGCUCCCAUUCGACUCCUAUUCUGGGAACUUCCACAUGCCACACAUGUGGCCCUAAAAAGACAAAAAUCAAAACGGUUUAAUAGUAACUUCACAUUGGCUUCACAUUAGUGGUGAUGGGUUUAAAGGAUAGAGGUUGAGAAAGGACAGUAGAAAUAUUAUUAUCGUUACAUUCCUGAGUCUUCACGACAUCAACUUUUGUAUCAUAUAGGGCACCCAGAGUUUAAAUGAAACUGGCCAACUUGCAUUAGAAGGAGGAACACAGCAGAGGUUAGUGUUAUUACCCAAAAAUGUAUGUAACAGAUCUAAGGAAGAAACUAAAAAAAGCAAGCAGAAUAUAAGUGUGGUCAGUAAUGAAACUAUAAAUUAGGGUAAGAAAUGGUUGUGGCUUUGGGAGAGUCUCUGUUAGAUUGUUUACUUGACCCUUCAUUUUACUUACUUAGGUUUGGUUUUCUUUUUCUACAGAACAUGUGCAAAGUAUAACACUCUGUCCAUGUAGAUUUAAUAUGAUCUCCAAAAUCUAAUGUAGAAGCUUUAUAAUACUUCAACUAAAGGAUAUAUUUAAGGAAAAGCAAAAUUUUAGAAUAUUAGUAAGUCCAUAUGUAAAAGCAGUCUAUGUAAAACACAUCUUCAGACCUAGAUACGAGAACACUGUGAGUUUACUAAUAAGGAACUACAGUAACGCAAGAUAGACUCUAAAUGAUACGUAAGGGUUUCCAAAGCAACAAGGAAGUUGAAACAAGCACAUUUAGGGGUUAGAGUCUUUUAGAAAUAGUUGCAGAUUCGAGUUUGGGGAAGAAUUGUUAAUGUCCACAUCGGUCCUCAGAGCUAAGAAUUUCAGAGAAUUUGAAUAACUGGACCAGAAGCUGAUUUGGAUAAAUAAGAAAAUCACCUAGACUGGACACAUUUAUGCUGCUAACCAAAGUGGGUCAGAAAAUAUCUUCAAAAAUAAUUUGUUCUUGUCACUCUUACUGCUGUGAAUUGUGAGAAAAAGAUUUAUGGCCUGAGUAAGUGCACUGUCUAUGGAAUGAGGUUUGUUUCAGAUAUUAAAGCAAGUGCAGAAUGAGAUCUAUCCACUGGAUCUGGAACUGGAAGAAGGACACUUUUUGUUUUUAUUUUAUUUGUUCUUGUUGUUGUUUUGUUAUUUAAGAAAGAUACUUUUGAUAUAUGUUUAUUUUUGAAAAAAGCUGUUCCUUUGGAUGAUGAUGAUUAGCUUAUUGUUCCAGGGAAACUUCAAAUCCACGGCCUAAGAAACCUCACUUAGUGUUUUUCUUUUUUGGCCUAGUUAAAUUUCUUGGAAUAGAAAUGCUAAUUUUUCCAAGAACUGUGCAGAAAUUUUUAUAAGGUCCUUUGAAAACUAACUUUAGCAUAAUCUAUAAAAACAACGCUACAUUGUAUACUUGAAACUAAUAUACUAUUGUAACUCACCUAUAUCUCCAUACCAAAAAGUCUUAAUAAAAAAAUCUGUAGGAGUUCCCACUGUGGUGCACUGAGAUGGAUGGUGUCUCUGCAGCAGCAGGAAGGAGGGUUUGAUCCCCCUCCCUGCACAGUGGGUUAAGGAUCUGCAU